ACACGUAGGGGGCGAGCGUUGUUCGGAAUUACUGGGCGUAAAGGGCAUGUAGGCGGUUCUGUAAGCUUGGCGUGAAAGACCACGGCUCAACCGUGGGAUUGCGUUGAGAACUGCGAGGCUUGAGUGACGGAGAGGGAGCUAGAAUUCCUGGUGUAGGGGUGAAAUGCGUAGAUAUAUGGAGGAACACCAGUGGCGAAGGCGACUCUCUGGUCUGUAACUGACGCUGAGGCUCGAAAGCGUGGGGAGC
rnacentral:rRNA from 1 species